CUAAUGCUGAUGGAAAAAACGUCCAAGGUACAUUAGGUUAGAUAGGAAACGUGGAAUCUGGGUUGGAUGAGAAUGAGUGUCUUUGGGGGAGAUAGCUGGGCAAGAGAAGCGCAAUACAGGAAAAGGAGGGUUGACGAUCUGCUUGUAGAGGGGAUUCAUGGCUCUUCCUUCAAGAAGCUCGCUAACGGCAAAUACGCCUGCCUCGUCUGCCCCGACAAUCCCAUCCUCGAUACCCCUGUCAUGCUCUCCAACGGAUUCCUUUCUUCUUUAGAGAUGGCGAAGGAUGUCAAGUUUGAAGCUUUCUUAUAUGCUUGUUGAUAUUUGAAAGAGGUGGUCUCCGAUUGUUGAAACCUUUUUUUAGAUACACAACAAGGGAUCACGUCACCUUGCGGCAACAUCAAGACUGAAAGAAAGGGAUUUGAUUAAACAGAAUGAAAUAAAUAAGAGAAUUGCAUUGUCGGCCUCAUCUGCUGACAGUGCCAAAUCCAGUGGCAAUCAAAAGCUAAGGUUAGCUAGCAGUGGCAAGCCUUUGAUUGAACAGACAAAGAAGGCUGUUUCUGAAAUACUGUCUGACAAAUCUCAGCAACAAAUGGAAAAUAGAAGUAAAAAGGGGCAAUCAAUCACAGGUCACAUGGCAAGUGCAUCAUGUGUAUCAACUGAAAGUUUCUCCUCUCCUGCAAGAGUGGACGAUAACAAGGUGGUCUUGCAGCAUAAUUUGGAUUUUCAGGAGCGCAGAGAGAGAGAACUCAAAUUUACUGCUGCAGGUUGGAAGCGUGACGGUCAUGGAAAAUGGUAUCAAGAUGAAAAUGUUGAGUUUGACUCUGAUGAAGAAGAUCCAAAUGUUUGUCUUGGCUGAAAAUUUUUGCAUUAAUCAGCAGAGAUGGUGGCGGACUAUAGCAGUCACGCAAUUUUUUUUUUUUUUUAAAUAAACAAGAGUCGUCUGUUUGAUGAUGCACUCCUUCCAUUUGCUACAGAAGAAAUCAAAUUGUAACAUCACUGGUCUCUGUGGAAGCCAUAUUUGUGAGCGCGCGCGCGCACACACACAUAUAUAUAUAUAUAUAUGUAUGUAUAUGUAUAUGUAUGUAUAUUGUAUUAUUACCGAUAGGAUAGGUUUCAUCAAGGUUUUUCCUCCAAUGCUUUGAAUUGAUAGCUAGACUGCUAGAGCGAUUAUUUAUGACCAGUCAAGGCUUCCCAUUUGGUUUUAUA